rnacentral:rRNA from 1 species
GAGUUUGAUCCUGGCUCAGGACGAACGCUGGCGGCGCGCCUAACACAUGCAAGUCGAACGAGCGAGAGAGAGCUUGCUUUCUCGAGCGAGUGGCGAACGGGUGAGUAACGCGUGAGGAACCUGCCUCAAAGAGGGGGACAACAGUUGGAAACGACUGCUAAUACCGCAUAAGCCCACAGCUCGGCAUCGAGCAGAGGGAAAAGGAGCAAUCCGCUUUGAGAUGGCCUCGCGUCCGAUUAGCUAGUUGGUGAGGUAAUGGCCCACCAAGGCGACGAUCGGUAGCCGGACUGAGAGGUUGAACGGCCACAUUGGGACUGAGACACGGCCCAGACUCCUACGGGAGGCAGCAGUGGGGAAUAUUGCACAAUGGGGGAAACCCUGAUGCAGCGACGCCGCGUGGAGGAAGAAGGUCUUCGGAUUGUAAACUCCUGUUGUUGAGGAAGAUAAUGACGGUACUCAACAAGGAAGUGACGGCUAACUACGUGCCAGCAGCCGCGGUAAAACGUAGGUCACAAGCGUUGUCCGGAAUUACUGGGUGUAAAGGGAGCGCAGGCGGGAAGACAAGUUGGAAGUGAAAUCUAUGGGCUCAACCCAUAAACUGCUUUCAAAACUGUNUUUCUUGAGUAGUGCAGAGGUAGGCGGAAUUCCCGGUGUAGCGGUGGAAUGCGUAGAUAUCGGGAGGAACACCAGUGGCGAAGGCGGCCUACUGGGCACCAACUGACGCUGAGGCUCGAAAGUGUGGGUAGCAACAGGAUUAGAUACCCUGGUAGUCCACACCGUAGACGAUGAUUACUAGGUGUUGGAGGAUUGACCCCUUCAGUGCGGCAGUUAACACGAUAAGUGAUCCACCUGGGGAGUACGACCGCAAGGUUGAACUCAAAGGAAUUGACGGGGGCCCGCACAAGCAGUGGAGUAUGUGGUUUAAUUAGACGCAACGCGAAGAACCUUACCAAGUCUUGACAUCCUGCGACGGACAUAGAAAUAUGUCUUUCCUUCGGGACGCAGAGACAGGUGGUGCAUGGUUGUCGUCAGCUCGUGUCGUGAGAUGUUGGGUUAAGUCCCGCAACGAGCGCAACCCUUAGUGUCAGUUACUACGCAAGAGGACUCUGGCAGGACUGCCGUUGACAAAACGGAGGAAGGUGGGGAUGACGUCAAAUCAUCAUGCCCUUUAUGACUUGGGCUACACACGUACUACAAUGGCGUUAAACAAAGAGAAGCAAGACCGCGAGGUGGAGCAAAACUCAGAAACCACCUCCCAGUUCGGACUGCAGGCUGCAACUCGCCUGCACGAAGUCGGAAUUGCUAGUAAUCGUGGAUCAGCAUGCCACGGUGAAUACGUUCCCGGGCCUUGUACACACCGCCCGUC